AUUGAACGCUGGCGGCAGGCCUAACACAUGCAAGUCGAACGAGUGGCGGACGGGUGAGUAAUGUCUGGGAAACUGCCUGAUGGAGGGGGAUAACUACUGGAAACGGUAGCUAAUACCGCAUACCAUCAGAUGUGCCCAGAUGGGAUUAGCUUGUUGGUGGGGUAAAGGCUCACAAAGGCGACGAGCCCUAGCUGGUCUGAGAGGAUGACCAGCCACACUGGAACUGAGACACGGUCCAGACUCCUACGGUAGGCAGCAGUGGGGAAUAUUGCACAAUGGGCGCAAGCCUGAUCCAGCCAUGCCGCGUGUAUGAAGAAGGCCUUCGGUUUGUAAAGUACUUUAAGCGGGGAGGCGUUACCCGCAGAAGAAGCACCGGCUAACUCCGUGCCAGCAGCCGCGGUAAUAC
rnacentral:rRNA from 1 species